AUAAAGACAGAGAAGGUGCACAGUAAGGAAGUCUUUCCCGAAUUUCACACCGGAGUCGUAUCCCUGAAAGAACAGUAGGGGAUAACGUUAUCUGCACGUUACGCAGGAGACUAAGAGCCAGGUCGUUUUUUCCUGGAAUUAGGGUGGUACCGCGAGAUGAUUCCCGUCCCUUAU
rnacentral:ncRNA from 1 species